rnacentral:rRNA from 1 species
AUUGAACGCUGGCGGCAGGCUCAACACAUGCGAGUCGAGCGGGGUGAUGGUGCUUGCACUAUCACUUAGCGGCGGACGGGUGAGUAAUGCUUAGGAAUCUGCCUAUUAGUGGGGGACAACAUCUCGAAAGGGAUGCUAAUACCGCAUACGUCCUACGGGAGAAAGCAGGGGAUCACUUGUGACCUUGCGCUAAUAGAUGGGCCUAAGUCGGAUUAGCUAGUUGGUGGGGUAAAGGCCUACCAAGGCGACGAUCUGUAGCGGGUCUGAGAGGAUGGUCCGCCACACUGGGACAGAGACACGGCCCAGACUCCUACGGGAGGCAGCAGUGGGGAAUAUUGGACAAUGGGGGGAACCCUGAUCCAGCCAUGCCGCGUGUGUGAAGAAGGCCUUAUGGUUGUAAAGCACUUUAAGCGAGGAGGAGGCUCUUUUGGUUAAUACCCAAGAUGAGUGGACGUUACUCGCAGAAUAAGCACCGGCUAACUCUGUGCCAGCCGCCGCUGUAA